UUUCAGAUCAUGAAUUUUUAUACAGAGAUGCUGACGGAGCAGCUACAAUAUUCGACGCUGACACUCUUCAAAGGACGGUCGUCAUGCCUAACACAACAUUUAGACAAAUGAAUGUUCAUCAAUAUAGCAUAUCUCCAGACAGAAGAUAUAUUCUCCUCGCCGUAGAUUAUAAAAAAAUGUACAGACAUUCAUUCCUAGCAAAGUACAGAAUUUAUAAUAUUAGCAACGAGCAUGUUGUGCCUCUACUCCAUGAUGACUCCAACGCCAUGCUACAGUUCGCACAAUGGGGACGGGGAGGAAGUCAA